UACGUAGGUGGCAAGCGUUGUCCGGAAUUAUUGGGCGUAAAGCGCGUGUAGGCGGCUUUGCAAGUCGGGUGUGAAAUCCCUCAGCUCAACUGAGGAAGUGCGCCCGAAACUGCUUAGCUUGAGUGCCGGAGAGGAUGGCGGAAUUCCCCAAGUAGAGGUGAAAUUCGUAGAUAUGGGGAGGAACACCGGUGGCGAAGGCGGCCAUCUGGACGGUAACUGACGCUGAGACGCGAAAGCGUGGGUAGCAAACAGG
rnacentral:rRNA from 1 species